GCUCAUGAUGAACGCUAGCUACAGGCUUAACACAUGCAAGUCGAGGGGCAGCAUUUCAGUUUGCUUGCAAACUGGAGAUGGCGACCGGCGCACGGGUGAGUAACACGUAUCCAACCUGCCGAUAACUCGGGGAUAGCCUUUCGAAAGAAAGAUUAAUACCCGAUGGCAUAAUUAGACCGCAUGGUCUUAUUAUUAAAGAAUUUCGGUUAUCGAUGGGGAUGCGUUCCAUUAGGCAGUUGGUGAGGUAACGGCUCACCAAACCUUCGAUGGAUAGGGGUUCUGAGAGGAAGGUCCCCCACAUUGGAACUGAGACACGGUCCAAACUCCUACGGGAGGCAGCAGUGAGGAAUAUUGGUCAAUGGGCGCAGGCCUGAACCAGCCAAGUAGCGUGAAGGAUGACUGCCCUAUGGGUUGUAAACUUCUUUUAUAUGGGAAUAAAGUUUUCCACGUGUGGAAUUUUGUAUGUACCAUAUGAAUAAGGAUCGGCUAACUCCGUGCCAGCAGCCGCGGUAAUACGGAGGAUCCGAGCGUUAUCCGGAUUUAUUGGGUUUAAAGGGGGCGUAGGUGGACAGUUAAGUCAGUUGUGAAAGUUUGCGGCUCAACCGUAAAAUUGCACCUGAUACUGGCUGUCUUGAGUACAGUAGAGGUGGGCGGAAUUCGUGGUGUAGCGGUGAAAUGCUUAGAUAUCACGAAGAACUCCGAUUGCGAAGGCAGCUCACUGGACUGCAACUGACACUGAUGCUCGAAAGUGUGGGUAUCAAACAGGAUUAGAUACCCUGGUAGUCCACACAGUAAACGAUGAAUACUCGCUGUUUGCGAUAUACAGUAAGCGGCCAAGCGAAAGCAUUAAGUAUUCCACCUGGGGAGUACGCCGGCAACGGUGAAACUCAAAGGAAUUGACGGGGGCCCGCACAAGCGGAGGAACAUGUGGUUUAAUUCGAUGAUACGCGAGGAACCUUACCCGGGCUUAAAUUGCAUUUGAAUAUAUUGGAAACAGUAUAGCCGUAAGGCAAAUGUGAAGGUGCUGCAUGGUUGUCGUCAGCUCGUGCCGUGAGGUGUCGGCUUAAGUGCCAUAACGAGCGCAACCCUUAUCUUUAGUUACUAACAGGUCAUGCUGAGGACUCUAGAGAGACUGCCGUCGUAAGAUGUGAGGAAGGUGGGGAUGACGUCAAAUCAGCACGGCCCUUACGUCCGGGGCUACACACGUGUUACAAUGGGGGGUACAGAAGGCAGCUACCUGGUGACAGGAUGCUAAUCCCAAAAGCCUCUCUCAGUUCGGAUCGAAGUCUGCAACCCGACUUCGUGAAGCUGGAUUCGCUAGUAAUCGCGCAUCAGCCAUGGCGCGGUGAAUACGUUCCCGGGCCUUGUACACACCGCCCGUCAAGCCAUGAAAGCCGGGGGUACCUGAAGUACGUAACCGCAAGGAGCGUCCUAGGGUAAAACUGGU
rnacentral:rRNA from 1 species